GGUGCGCGGGGUGGCUGGGGCUACGUGCAGAGCUGUCGCGGAGCCGGAGCAGCAGCGGUGAAGGCCCUCGGCUCGGCCGAGACCGCCGUGCCCACUGCUCGCCUCGGUUGCCGCCGCUUUAGCCGCAGCCGCUGCUGCCGCCGCCGGGGGAGAGGCAGCCUAUUGUCUUUCUCCGCGGCGAAGGUGAGGAGCUGUCUCGGCUCGGCCCGCGGGGGAGCCCCGGGAGCCGCACGGUGGCAUUUUUCAACUCCGCUGGAGCCAGUGCCCAGGAGGAACAAAGGGUGUGCUGCCAGCCCCUGGCUCACCCAGUGGCCUCGUCCCAGAAGAAGCCAGAGGUAGCGGCCCCAGCCCCAGAGAGUGGGGGUGAGUCUGUGUUUGGGGAGACCCACCGGGCCCUGCAGGGGGCCAUGGAGAAGCUGCAGCGACUUUAUGGAAGGAGAAGGUGGACCUGAAGGAGCGGGUAGAGAAACUAGAGCUUCAAUUCAUCCACCUCUCAGGACAGACAGACACCAUAGAAAGUACAUCAGCCAGGGGGCAGUGUCAGAGACGCAGCACUGGGAGAGGAGGACAUCGUCAGGCUGGCCCAGGACCAGGAGGAGAUGAAGGUGAACCUGCAGGAGCUGCGGGGCAGGUGUUGCAGCUUGUGGGCGACCACAAGGAGGGGCAUGGCAAAUUUUGACCAUUGCCCAGAACCCUGCUGAUGAGCCCACUCUAGGAGCCCCAGUAGCCCAGGAGCUUGGGUGUGCUGACGAGCAGGGUGGCUUUUAUCCUAGAUCACCACUGGAUUGCUGACAGAUAGAGGAGGUGGGACCCUGACUAUCACCCCUAAUCUGCAGUGGAUUUGGCUCUCGGCACUCCCAGGCUGGGAGCUGGAUACCUGCCCUGGCAGCAUGGCUCAGACUGCAUGACAGAAAAUGGAAAGUAUUUCAAAAACGAAUCAUCUGAUGUCUACAAAAGGCCACGUUUUACGUAAGAAGAAGAAAAAGGUUUUAGGCAUUCCUGACACUCCUGAGAAGACUGUGGAUACCCAGGGCCCCACACCGGUUUGUACAUCAACAUUUUUGGAGAGACAAAAAUCUGAAGUGGCUGAAAUGAAUGAUGAUGAUGAAGAUAAUGAAAUAGUUUUUGAAAAGCCCAUAUCCUGUGUAAAAGAAGAAAUACAAGAGACUCAAACACCUACACAUUCACAGAAAAAAAGACAAAGCAUUCAGUGAUUUUCAAUAUAUUAUAUAUAAGAUUUCUUCUGAAAAAUAUAAUGUUUUUAUGAGAAAAAUACAAAAAAUUAGCUGGGCGUGGUGGAUCAUGGCUGUAGUCCCAGCUACUUGGGAGGCUGAAGUGGCAGGAUCACCUGAACCUAGGAAGUUGAAGCUACAGUGAGCCAUGAUUGCGCCACUGCACUCCAGCCAAGUAAAAUUACAUUUAUCUUAGCCUUUUCUGACUGGCUUAAGUGGGAUCUGUAUUAAGAAUACAAUAGGCAAUCUCACAGACAUCUAAAUACAGAACUCAGCAUGUGACCACACCAUGGAAGGACUGUGCUGGGAGGUGAUUUUCCUCUCCUGCAUGCCUUCACUCUGGACUUCUGCUCCAUGCUUGUGCUUUGCUCUGCAGAUGGACGUUCGGCACGUGCUCCAGGCUCCUCCAGCCGCUGAGGCUUUGGCUUGCCCUGGCAGUACCCCUGGUCCCAGUGUUACUGGACCUUUCCAUACAGAUGCUCCUCUGCAAAAAAUCUAUCGAACACUCUCUGUGUCAUUUCCAAUGAGCAGGAUAGAGAAUCUGAUCUGCCUAGCAGUGGGGGUGGGAGUUCCCUAGUUGUCCCUGGAUUUGUAGUGCUGCCCUUUCCAGAGACUCGAGGAGGGUCCGGAUAUCCAAAGAGAGGAUGUGGGUGGGGAAUCAGUAAUACAGUCUACUUCAACAAGAAAGUAUAAAGUAGAGGCGGUGGCUCACGCCUGUAAUCCCAGCACUUUAGGAGGCCAAGGAAGGCAGAUUACUUGAGCUCAGGAGUUUGAGACCAGACUGAGCAACAUGGCAAAACCCCAUCUCUACUAAAAAUACAAAAAAUUAGCUAGGUGUGGUGGCACAUGCCUGUAGUCCUGGCUACUUAGGAGGCUGAGGUGGGAGGCUUGCUUGAGCCCAGGAAGUCGAGGCUACAGUGAACCAAGAUUGUGAUGCCACUGCCCUCCAGCCUGGGUGAUAAAGCGAGACCCUGUCUCAAAAAAAAAAAAAA
rnacentral:lncRNA from 1 species